CAACUUUAUGACUCUCGUUAUCACCCAAACGCUGCUUUUUCUUUCUUUUUUGUUUCUCGGAUUUGCUUAUGCACCAAGUGUAAACCUUCCUAAAUAACUUGAGUAUUUCAUGCAUCUAAACUAAAGAUUUUCGUAAAUCUCAAUCUUAGGACUCUCAUUCUCACCUGAAAACCAUGUUUUCUUUCAUUUUUGUUUCUCUGAUUUUCCGUUCCCCAAAUUUAUGUUCUGGGUUAAGGUUCAUUCUCCAUUGUUGAGAUACAAGUGGUGUUUGCUUUUGUCUUCCAAUACUGCAUUACUGACUACUGAGUGGUCAUUAGACUAUUUAAUUCAGAUAUCCAUCGUUAUACAGACUUGAAACUUUUUACAUGGUAAUUUAUGUGCAUGAACCAUAUUAUCGUAUUCCAAUUAGAAGAUUCAUGUGUCCAGACUGACAAUGUAUGAAUGCUACAAUUCAUAUUGUAUAUAUAUAAUAAAGACACAUGGAAUGCGGAAAUUUGACCUUUUCAUAGUUCCCCCCUGUCAAUUUGUCUGUUCUUUCUAGAUCAUGAGAAAAGAUGUUUUCUAUUUACAAUUGACUAUUUUUUUGCCUGAA